rnacentral:rRNA from 1 species
CGUGUGGUUCUAUUUUGUUGGUUUCUAGGACCGCCGUAAUGAUUAAUAGGGACAGUUGGGGGCAUUCGUAUUCAACAGUCAGAGGUGAAAUUCUUGGAUUUGUUGAGGACGGACUAGUGCGAAAGCAUUUGCCAAGGAUGUUUUCAUUAAUCAAGAGCGAGAGUUAGGGGAGCGAAGACGAUUAGAUACCGUCGUAGUCCUAUACCGUAAACGAUGCCGUCGAGGGAUCGGACGUUGAUACGUUUUCUGUACACGUUCGGCACCUUGUGAGAAAUCAAAGUUUUUGGGUUCCGGGGGGAGUAUGGUCGCAAGGCUGAAACUUAAAGGAAUUGACGGAAGGGCACCACCAGGAGUGGAGCCCGCGGCUUAAUUUGACUCAACACGG